rnacentral:rRNA from 1 species
GUUUUCCGCGCCGUAGCUAACGCAUUAAGUGCCCCGCCUGGGGAGUACGGCCGCAAGGCUAAAACUCAAAGGAAUUGACGGGGGCCCGCACAAGCGGCGGAGCAUGCGGAUUAAUUCGAUGCAACGCGAAGAACCUUACCAAGGCUUGACAUGAACCGGUAACGCCUGGAGACAGGUGCCCCGCUUGCGGUCGGUUUACAGGUGGUGCAUGGUUGUCGUCAGCUCGUGUCGUGAGAUGUUGGGUUAAGUCCCGCAACGAGCGCAACCCUCGUUCUAUGUUGCCAGCACGUGAUGGUGGGGACUCAUAGGAGACUGCCGGGGUCAACUCGGAGGAAGGUGGGGACGACGUCAAAUCAUCAUGCCCCUUAUGUCUUGGGCUUCACGCAUGCUACAAUGGCCGGUACAAAGGGUUGCGAUACUGUGAGGUGGAGCUAAUCCCAAAAAGCCGGUCUCAGUUCGGAUUGGGGUCUGCAACUCGACCCCAUGAAGUCGGAGUCGCUAGUAAUCGCAGAUCAGCAACGCUGCGGUGAAUACGUUCCCGGGCCUUGUACACACCGCCCGUCAAGUCACGAAAGUUGGUAACACCCGAAGCCGGUGGC